rnacentral:rRNA from 1 species
AUUGAACGCUGGCGGCAGGCUUAACACAUGCAAGUCGAGCGGAGUUUUGGUGCUUGCACCAAGACUUAGCGGCGGACGGGUGAGUAAUGCUUAGGAAUCUGCCUAUUAGUGGGGGACAACGUUUCGAAAGGAACGCUAAUACCGCAUACGUCCUACGGGAGAAAGCAGGGGAUCUUCGGACCUUGCGCUAAUAGAUGAGCCUAAGUCGGAUUAGCUAGUUGGUGGGGUAAAGGCCUACC